rnacentral:pre_miRNA from 1 species
GUUGGUAAAGUGGAAUCAAACCUUACGGUUUUAGUCCAUGGUUUGGUCCCCUUCAACCAGCUG